rnacentral:tRNA from 1 species
UGGGGUAUCGCCAAGCGGUAAGGCACCGGGUUUUGAUCUCGGCAUUCCUAGGUUCGAAUCCUAGUACCCCAGCCAUAC